rnacentral:rRNA from 1 species
GUGCCUACGGGACGCAGCAGUGAGGAAUAUUGGUCAAUGGUCGGGAGACUGAACCAGCCAAGCCGCGUGAGGGAGGAAGGUACAGAGUAUCGUAAACCUCUUUUGUCAGGGAACAAAGGCGGGGACGUGUCCCCGGAUGAGUGUACCUGAAGAAAAAGCAUCGGCUAACUCCGUGCCAGCAGCCGCGGUAAUACGGAGGAUGCGAGCGUUAUCCGGAUUUAUUGGGUUUAAAGGGGGCGCAGGCGGUCUGUUAAGUCAGCGGUGAAAGGCCGGGGGUCAACCCCGGACCGCCGUUGCAAACGGGG